rnacentral:rRNA from 1 species
GACGAACGCUGGCGGCGUGCUUAACACAUGCAAGUCGAACGGAAAGGCCUUUUCGGAGGUACUCGAGUGGCGAACGGGUGAGUAACACGUGGGUGAUCUGCCCUGCACUCUGGGAUAAGCCUGGGAAACUGGGUCUAAUACCGGAUAGGACCGCACUUUAGUGUGUGUGGUGGAAAGUUUUUUCGGUGUAGGAUGAGCCCGCGGCCUAUCAGCUUGUUGGUGGGGUAAUGGCCUACCAAGGCGGCGACGGGUAGCCGGACUGAGAGGUUGGUCGGCCACAUUGGGACUGAGAUACGGCCCAGACUCCUACGGGAGGCAGCAGUGGGGAAUAUUGCACAAUGGGCGCAAGCCUGAUGCAGCGACGCCGCGGGGGGGAUGACGGCCUUCGGGUUGUAAACUCCUUUCGCCAGGGACGAAGCGUUUUGUGACGGUACCCGGAGAAGAAGCACCGGCUAACUACGUG